rnacentral:rRNA from 1 species
ACGCUCGACACCUACGGGGGGCAGCAGUGGGGAAUAUUGCACAAUGGGGGAAACCCUGAUGCAGCGACGCCGCGUGAGCGAAGAAGUAUUUCGGUAUGUAAAGCUCUAUCAGCAGGGAAGAAAAUGACGGUACCUGACUAAGAAGCCCCGGCUAACUACGUGCCAGCAGCCACGGUAAUCUGAGCGGGCUGGCAAGGC